rnacentral:rRNA from 1 species
AUUGAACGCUGGCGGCAGGCCUAACACAUGCAAGUCGAGCGAGCGGCGGACGGGUGAGUAAUGUAUGGGGACUGCCCGCUAGAGGGGGAUAACUACUGGAAACGGUGGCUCAUACCGCAUACUGUCGGAUCACCCAUAGGGGAUUAGCUAGUAGGUAAGGUAAUGGCUUACCUAGUCGACGAUCCCUAGCUGUUCUGAGAGGAUGAUCAGCCAAACUGGGACUGAGACACGGCCCAGACUCCUACGGAGGCAGCAGUGGGGAAUAUUGCACAAUGGGCGCAAGCCUGAUGCAGCCAUGCCGCGUGUAUGAAGAAGGCCCUAGGGUUGUAAAGUACUUUCAGUCGGGAGGCGUUACCGACAGAAGAAGCACCGGCUAACUCCGUGCCAGCUGCCGCGGUAAUUC